rnacentral:rRNA from 1 species
UACAGGGGGUGCAAACGUUGCUCGGAAUUAUUGGGCGUAAAGCGCGCGUAGGCGGCUAUUUAAGUCGGAUGUGAAAGCCCUUGGCUCAACUGAGGAAGUGCACCCGAAACUGAAUGGCUUGAGUACCAAAGAGGGUCGCGGAAUUCCCGGUGUAGAGGUGAAAUUCGUAGAUAUCGGGAGGAACACCGGUGGCGAAGGCGGCGACCUGGGUGGAUACUGACGCUGAGGCG